UACGUAGGGCGCAAGCGUUGUCCGGAAUUAUUGGGCGUAAAGAGCUCGUAGGCGGCUUGUCACGUCGGUUGUGAAAGCCCGGGGCUUAACCCCGGGUCUGCAGUCGAUACGGGCAGGCUAGAGUGUGGUAGGGGAGAUCGGAAUUCCUGGUGUAGCGGUGAAAUGCGCAGAUAUCAGGAGGAACACCGGUGGCGAAGGCGGAUCUCUGGGCCUUACCUGACGCUGAGGCGCGAAAGCUAGGGGAGCGAACAGG
rnacentral:rRNA from 1 species